AAUAUUUCAUACUCUGCCUAAAACAUUACCUAGAAAUAUUUGUAGCACCACCAACAAUCCUUAAUGGAUUAAUCCAUGAAAGGAAAACUUAACUUUUUUUUUUAUUUUUUUAAACUUGAAUAUUUUUCAGGUGGGCAGACAAGUAGAACAAUUCUGGUAGUGUAAGCAGGAUUUGUCAAUACUUUUAGUUUUAGGCAAUGGCUUCCUUGUAAUAUUCUUACUCCAACAUAGAAAAUUAAAAAAUUUGCUAGGCUUAACCCCAGCAUUCAGGCAGAGGCAGGUGGAUCUCUGAGUUCAAGGCCAGCCGGGUCUACAGAGUGAGCUCCAGGGAAGCCAGGGCUGCACAGAGAAACCCUGUCUUGAAAAAUCAAAAAAAAAAAAAAAAAAAAAAAACCAAAAAAAUAAAAACAAAAAUAGUCUGUCUCUAAUUUACAUGACUCUAUGAGGGGAAGAGAAUGAUCAUGAAUUUGUGCAUGUGUGUGUUCUUCAGUUGUACACAAAGAUAAGUCUACAGACUUAUCUUUUUUAGUAGCUUUGUUAAACAGAGCAACUAAUAGUUCUAAGCCUUGUGAUUAUUACUUUUUCAACUUUUAACCUUUUUUUUUAGGUGGUAUACUGAGGAUCACAUUCAGGGCCUUUGACAAACAAGGCAAAAGCACACUAAGCUAUGUCUGGUCCCACCCUUCAGAUUUUGUAAGAAUGUGAUUCCAAGUUGAUGGUGUUGGAAGUCUUUGACAUUUUCCUUUUCUUAUCAGGGUCAAUUGCUCCCAUUCCUGCAUGGACAGUAAGGGGUUUGCAGGAUUAUCUUUUUAAAGUGUGAAAUGAAACUUGUAUGUUAACUUUGCUGUAUAUUAACUUUGAAAAAAUUAGAAUGAUAACUAGAUAACAUCAAGUAAAUACCAAGAAGUACCUUCGUCUUACACUCUUAAUACUUUUUUGUUUAGGGCAGACUAAUGCUACAUGAACAGGCCUUCAGCAUUUGAAGAGAACUGUUACAGAUCUUCUGAGUUGUACGUGUUUUCUCCACUAUUCUCUGAAAAAAACUGACAAGUUUUGCUGCUUUUAUGAAUUUUACCAGCUACUAAGUCUCAGUGGAGAGUGACUAGGAAGUAGCUGUUUACCGCUUACAGUCAGAAGUGCUGUUUCUCCAGGUGAUGUGUAGGGAGCAAGGCUUUAAUAAUUUGAAUUAUCUGGAGAGAGAAGUCACUAGUGAAUGUGGAAAGUUGG
rnacentral:lncRNA from 1 species